UAAAAAAAGUUAUAAAUGAAUUGAUAAUUGGAAGUGAACUUUAAAAGGAUUGGUUUAUACUGCAUGUAACACUAGGUGGCAGUGCAAGCCCAGGGAAUUUAAUCCAGCUCAAUGGCCGAUAAUAUCCUCCACUCCGUCUUGGGGGGCACAGAUUAGCAUUUAUGUUGCACUCCCUGUCAGUAUAUGGCCCAAGCUGGGGAAGCUAAUGAUCCAACCAGUGGACCAAAUUUGGUGAUGAAUCCUAGUCACGUGCCAUCUGAGGCACAUUGUGCAUGUACUAAGACGACUCUGUAACGCAAAGCUUCCUCUUGCACAUAGGCAUCGGCCUACGGCAGAAAACCUAGCCUAAGACCCACACAGCUUCAAGAUUUCAGGACGCAGAUAAGUACAAUGGCAGCCUAUGGCAGAGAUCUGAAUUUGGAAACACAACCAGGAUACAACUUGGCCAGAUCAGAGACCCCAGUGAGAUGUGGUGGAAGUCUCAACGCUUGGGACUAUAAAAAUUACACUGGACAAAGCACCAGAUGAUAUAUUGUAGAGGACAGGGUUGGCAGAGAGAAGGUAAUAGAUGAACUAAUAAGUCAUUUCCCUCUCUAACUUCUAUGAUCCUUAAGAUUUGUGAAGCAAAGUAUCAACACGUUAAAAAAAAAAAAAUUCAGCAGAAUGCAAAUAUUGUAGACUAAGAUGAUGGCAAUGUGGACACAGACACACACUACCCUAAAGUUCUUACUACCCAUUCUCUCCAUUCGUGUGGAGCAACUAUUUCUGGAAGCAACAUGAGUCCCAUCCAACAAUCACGUCUAGAAAAGUCGGGCUAGGAUGAGAACAAUUAACAUCCCUUGGGCCUUGGGCCAUGGCUGUAGAGCCUUCUGAAACUUUCAGUAAAGUAUCUUUUAAAAGAGAAGAAUAGCUUUCUACCAGGGGGAGCCUCCAGCAAACACACUGAAAGCUUCAACAUGGCCAUACAAGGUGCAACCAAGUGGCUUUAUUUAUCCCAAUCCAAGUACAAAAAAGGAUUAGUUCUCCUUCUAAAGCCCAGGGAUUUCCUAUCAAGGUACUGCAAAGCCUGUGACUGGAAAUAACACACUGGGACACCACCAUCACUAACGCUCAGGACUCCAGCAUCCAGACCCACAGUCACAACAGCUUCCCUUAAAUCUUCACUGCCGAGUGAUUAAAGAAUAGAAUAGAGAACCAGGAGACCUGUGUUCUAGUCCCAGCAACACUACUGCUUCACUGUGCAACUGGCUAAAUAACUUCAUAGGUGUUGUGAAGCUUAACUAAAAAGGGCUCCUGAAAUUCUGAGCUACUUAGAUCAAAGGCACUAUGGAAAUGCAAAUCAUUACUAAGGUUAUUACAGCAAAUGAACACACUGCCGAGUUUUAAUUUGUGGAUUUUAGCUGCCAAAAACUAAUCCCUACAGAUCCAUCAGAAAGACUAAAUCUGUAACACAACUCUGAGAGCCAAACUAUUUAUUUACAGAAUCCACCUUUCUGAAAGAGCUAGGUGCUGCUUAUUUACCAUCUUUUCUUCUAGCUAGUUAUCAAGAUGGCAACAGCUUCCCUGUGAGACUCUACAUUUGGCUGUAGAAGCUGUGAGGACUGCUUUGAAGAAAUAGAGUGCGUUACUUCUGUAUGAUAAAAUACACACAAUAUACAAUAAAGAGAAUGCUCCUGAAGUCUUGGCCUUCUUUGUAAACAAUCAUUACAAUAAAUAAGCAAUUUCCAUAACUAAGUACCACUGGUUCAAUUCAUCCACUCUCAAAGGCUCCCAAAACAAAAGUAACAAUCACGAGUUUUGUUAAAAGGAACAACAGUCCUGAAUCCUCAAUCUUUACCAGAGAAAAGCCCUUCCUUAAAUUGACAGAAUCUUGGCCCUGUGACUUCAGUAAGCUUAAACCUGGAGUUUUCCAGUAAGCUGCAUUUCAUUAUCACUUUCACAGACUGGCACAACUGUACUCCACUCCCAUGGGGCUAUGAAGGACAUGCAGCUAUUGAUCUAGUCAGUGCCACGCGUCAUUGUCCUAAUGCACCACAGGGAGGAAACAUGAACUUCAACAAAUUCUUCCCCCCCUCCCCUGACGUUCACUUUCAACUGUGGAAAAAAAAAUCUAGCAGAUUUCCUUUGUUAGUAGCCAGUUCACUUUUAGGUUGAGGGUUUCUCAUUUUAAACCACCAAGGGUAUGUCUACACGGCAAUUAAAUACCUGUGGCUGGCCCGUCUCAGGGGGAGUUGGGCUUGGGCUGUGAAAUUGCGGUGUAGAUGUUCAGGCUGGGUGGGAUACUGGGCUCUACAAUUCUCCCCUUCCCCGAGGUCUCAGAGCUUGUGCUCCUGCCCGAGACCGAACAUCUAAACUG